rnacentral:rRNA from 1 species
GACGUAGGAUGCAAGCGUUGUCCGGAUUUAUUGGGCGUAAAGAGUUCGUAGGCGGUUUGUUAAGUCUGGUGUUAAAGAUCAGGGCCCAACCCUGGGACUGCAUCGGAUACUGGCAGACUGGAGUGUGGUAGAGGUAAGUGGAAUUUCUGGUGUAGCGGUGAAAUGCGUAGAUAUCAGGAAGAACACCGGUGGCGUAGGCGACUUACUGGGCCAUAACUGACGCUGAGGAACGAAAGCCAGGGGAGCAAAUGGG